UCAACUCUCCUCUUUUGUCAUUUUAAUAUGUAAUAUAAUUAUUGAACUAAAAUUAUUUUUUGUUGUUUUUCACUUGUCGUUUUUUCAUUCAAUUGCUGUCACCCUUUUUCUUCCCUAUUUUUGCCCCUUUUCUCUCUUCCCCACCUCUAUGGAUCAGAAGCGAAAGAAUCCAUAAUUCAAGAUUCAUGGAUGCAUCAGAAUUAUUGAAUUUUGGGUUUUGAUUGUUGUGGGGUUUCUUGAAAAUAUAAUUGUGAUGCAAGGUUAAAAUUGGAAAGUGUUCGACAAGGUAUUGAUUCUAAGUUUCUUGUUUCUCCUUUUCGAUGAAUUAUAUAUCCAAUGUUCUGUAUAAGUUAAAAUUCUGCUUAUGAUUGGGCUUAACUUUGGAUUUUACCAUGCGGGUUGAAUUUUGUAUAUUAAUUAGUGGACUGAAUUUGACUCUUGGAGGUUUGUUUUCAUUUAAUCUUAGGUAGUUGAAAUCGUAGUAGGGAUUUGAUGAUCUUUGUCCUUAGAUAGUUUGUGAAAUUUGCUUAUUUUUGCAUUUUGAAAUAAUCAAGUUUAGAUCAGAGACAGUUCUACAUGGAUCUGUUUACUUGUACUUAGAAAAAAAUUAUUUAUUCUUUAAACUAGCAUUGAAAUGCUGCCCAAAUAAUCUUGAUAAUGAGUUCUGGCAACUGAUAUCUUGAAACACAAUGGAACUGGAGAUUUCUACUUUGUUCUUGCUUUAGGUUUAUCCUUACAAAUGUCAAGAAAAAUGUGUGUGUGUGUGUGUGUGUGUGUGAGAGAGAGAGAGAGAGAGUCAAUUGCUGUCACCCUUUUUCUUCCCUAUUUUUGCCCCUUUUCUCUCUUCCCCACCUCUAUGGAUCAGAAGCGAAAGAAUCCAUAAUUCAAGAUUCAUGGAUGCAUCAGAAUUAUUGAAUUUUGGGUUUUGAUUGUUGUGGGGUUUCUUGAAAAUAUAAUUGUGAUGCAAGGUUAAAAUUGGAAAGUGUUCGACAAGGU
rnacentral:lncRNA from 1 species